rnacentral:lncRNA from 12 species
UCUCUGAGUAGCACUCUGAUGUUCCCAGUUUCUCCUCUCUCGCACAACAUUAAAAAGUCUGGAUAAAAGUGACCCUAGAUGCCCAGGGAGAUCACACACACGCAAGCGCCCUGCUGAGAGCUCAAAUGUCAGAGUGAACAGAGGGAGAACGCCUGUCUGCCAGCUCAUGAUACCCCGCUCUGUCAUUGGAGCGGUGUUUAUAUUCGAGGGGCUGACCGCAGGACGGCAAGCACUCAGAGGGGCCGCCUGACGCCACCGGUUCACUCAGCAGCCGAUGUCUUCAAGUUGGACACCGAGUGGUCCUCAAAUUUAGAUCAGGUUCCUUGUUUAGAUCACAGAGGGAAACUAUGGAACAUAAAGAUGGGAACGAAAGAGUGCAGGAGGGAAGUGUAG